rnacentral:rRNA from 1 species
GAUGAACGCUGGCGGCGUGCCUAAUACAUGCAAGUCGAGCGAACGGACGAGAAGCUUGCUUCUCUGAUGUUAGCGGCGGACGGGUGAGUAACACGUGGAUAACCUACCUAUAAGACUGGGAUAACUUCGGGAAACCGGAGCUAAUACCGGAUGAUAUUUUGAACCGCAUGGUUCAAAAGUGAAGGACGGUCUUGCUGUCACUUAUAGAUGGAUCCGCGCUGCAUUAGCUAGUUGGUAAGGUAACGGCUUACCAAGGCAACGAUGCAUAGCCGACCUGAGAGGGUGAUCGGCCACACUGGAACUGGAACACGGUCCAGACUCCUACGGGAGGCAGCAGUAGGGAAUCUUCCGCAAUGGGCGAAAGCCUGACGGAGCAACGCCGCGUGAGUGAUGAAGGUCUUCGGAUCGUAAAACUCUGUUAUUAGGGAAGAACAUAUGUGUAAGUAACUGUGCACAUCUUGACGGUACCUGAUCAGAAAGCCACGGCUAACUACGUG